rnacentral:rRNA from 1 species
GUCUACAGCCAUGCCACCCUGAACCAGUCUGAUCCCGUCUGAUCUCGGAAGCUAAGCAGGGUCGGGCCUGUUUAGUACUUGGAUGGGAGACCGCCUAGAAAAACCAGGUGCUGUAGGCG